rnacentral:rRNA from 1 species
CACUUCUAAGGAAGGCAGCAGGCGCGCAAAUUGCCCAAUCCUGACUCAGGGAGGUAGUGACAAGAAAUAACAAUAAACCGGCUUAUGCCGGUUUAAUUGGAAUGAGUACAAUUUAAACAUCUUAACGAGGAACAAUUGGAGGGCAAGUCUGGUGCCAGCAGCCGCGGUAAUUCCAGCUCCAAUAGCGUAUACUAAAGUUGUUGCAGUUAAAAAGCUCGUAGUUGGAUUUCUGUGGGGACGGAGCGGCCGGCCGCAACACGCGGUUCGAGCUAGCGCUUUCCCUACAUCCUGCCGCGAACCGUGCUACCAUUAGUUUGGUGGCGCCGGGGAUCGGCUCGAUUACUUUGAGAAAAAUAGAGUGUUCAAAGCAGGCCACACGCCUUGAAUAAGUUAGCAUGGAAUAAUAACUAAGGACUUCGGUUCUAUUUUGUUGGUGUUCGGGACUGAGGUAAUGAUUGAUAGGGACAGUUGGGGCGGUCUGUAUUCCAAAGCGAGAGGUGAAAUUCUUAGACCUUCGGAAGACAAACAGCUGCGAAAGCGUUCCGCAAGGAUGUUCCCUUUGAUCAAGAACGAGAGUUGGGGGAUCGAAGACGAUCAGAUACCGUCGUAGUCUCAACUAUAAACUAUACCAGCUAGGGAUCGGCCAAACGUUAUUUCAUACCGACUUGGUCGGCACCUUAUGAGAAAUCAAAGCAUCUGGGUUCCGGGGGGAGUAUGGUCGCAAGGCUGAAACUUAAAGGAAUUGACGGAAGGGCACCACCAGCCGUGGAGCCUGUGGCUUAAUUUGACUCAACACGGGAAAACUUACCAGGUCCAGACAUAGUAAGGAUUGACAGAUUGAUAGCUCUUUCUUGAUUCUGUGGGUGGUGGUGCAUGGCCGUUCUUAGUUGGUGGAGUGAUUUGUCUGGUUAAUUCCGUUAACGAACGAGACCCCAGCCUGCUAAAUAGCGCGCGUGAGCUUUGCUCGCGGCGAGCUUCUUAGAGGGACUAUGAUGCGCGAUAGCACAUGGAAGUUUGGGGCAAUAACAGGUCUGUGAUGCCCUUAGAUGUUCUGGGCCGCACACGGGCUACACUGGCGCCUGCAACGAGCAUAUCAGCUGGCCCGAGAGGGUCUUGGCUAAUCUUUUGAACCGGCGCCGUGCUUGGGAUUGACCUUUGCAAUUGUUGGUCAUGCAACGAGGAAUGCCUUGUAAACGCGAGUCAUCAGCUCGCAUUGAAUACGUCCCUGCCCUUUGUACACACCGCCCGUCGCUCCUACCGAUUGAGUGAUCCGGUGAAUAAUUCGGACCGACAGUACAUGCAGUUUCUGUGUGAAUUGACGGAAAGUCUAGUGAACCUUAUCACUUAGAGG